AAUACUAAAAGCACAAUAUGGUGAGCAGAGAGUGUGCCACCUCAUCAAAAAUAAUCAGCCAAUAAGAAUAUUUCAUUUCGGGUCUGGGCUUCAGUUUUGUUUCGAAUGGGCUUUGAUAUGUCUUCGGCUCUGGGCUUCGUGUUCGUUUAGAAUUGGCACAUCAGCAGAUGUGAGCCCCACUUUAUAUUGAUUUGGUUUGGUAUCUAACUAAUGUUGUUUGUUUAAUUUGAGUUUUAUUUUUCUACGGUUUAAUUUUUUUCCCGUACGGUUCUCUUAAUGUCGUUGGUUCUCUUACGGAUUUAGGGUUAUCGUUUUUUGACUCUUCUUCACCCUCGCCGUUCCUCAAAACUCGGUCUGUAAACCCAAAGUUUUCUUUUUACAACUCUUAACCUCCCCUAACGUAGAUUCAACGUAUUCUACUUAAUUCCCCAUUAAUCCAGUAAUAAUGUAAACCUCUCUGUUUCCUUCAUUUGAUCUAUAAAUUGGAGAGGAUUCCGGGUGGGAUGAAUCUUCACAAUCACUUUCGAUUCAUCUUCCAUAUCAAGCAUACAAAGAUCCUUUGAUAAAGUCGUCCACAGAUGCUUUGAAGAGGCAGAUGACUAACUAUAUGCUUCAGGACGAUUAAAAUCAUCAGAAGGUACAAACUUUUUAAAAAACAACGAGAUUCGGUUCUUUACACUUUAAUUCAAUCUCAUAUUCCUUAUUAAUCUUUUGAUGACUCCAUCUACAGGGAGCUCGAUCGUUUUUCUUUUCAUUGGAUUUGCAGCAUUUUGUUUUAGUAUCUUUCUGUUUUUUUUCCUCAGUUAUGUUAGAUAUGUUUUAUUGAUUCAGAGUUUGGUCUGAUUCUACGCUUCUGGUUCGAUAGAUGAGCAAAAAAAUGAGUCAGAACCAUUGAUUUGAUCGAGCAGAGGCAGAGCGUCUGAAGCUUUGAUGCAUCAUCGAGAAAAAUCUUUUGAGUCUUAGAGAGUUUCAGAGUUUCAGGGGAACAGAUUUAGGAUGAUAAAGGCAAGCCAAACCUAGCCAAAUUCUACGGUGAUAUGUCUUCGUUUCUUUGAAAUUUUAAUUUCUUACGUGGACGACUGUGACCUAUUCUCAACUUAUGAUUUGCGGUUACAGCUACAGAAGCAAUACGAGCUCAUAAGCAACGUAUUUUCAGCGUGAUACACAUUUAAGGAAGUGACAGAGUCAUCGAGUCAGUCAUGGAAUAUGCUGCCAAAGAAAACUGUGGGAUGCUGUACCGUUACUGCAAAGCUAUGGGAUAAGGGCUCCAUCAGGAGGACAGGGUGUUGAGGAAGGCCGUAGAGAAAACAAAAAAGAGGGUGAUGAAGUAACAGAGAAUCUCCUGGACAUUGACCCGCUAGAAAACAUGGUUAGACUUAGAGAUGAUGUUUUCAAGUGUAGAAGAAUAAAGAAAGAAAAACUUCAAAGGUUAAGGUAAAACCCAAUCUUUACAUUUUUCAUCUACUUUCGUUUGAUGAAAACUUGAUCCAUAGGUUUAUUUGUUUGAAUAUAUUUGAAUUAAUGGCAGGAGGAGUUGACGACCAAAGUGGACCACCAAGACCACCAAUAUUGUUGAUGAGAAGGUCGAUAUGUUUGCCAUUGGUGUAUUGGUUCUAUAAGUCAUAACCAGUCGUAGAGUUGUUGAUACAACAGAAGCCAUGUCAGGGGUGGUUGUGAAUGCGUGCUAUUUUCAGGAUCACACAGCCCCCUCAUACCUCAACGAACUCAUCCGCCACGGGCAACUCCUAAUGGAGUGAGUAGAAACAAUCAAAUAAAACUUAAAUGUCUGGUAACUAAUGUGCUUAUGCCUUGCCUUAGUCCCCCUUGAUUGAGUUUUGCUUCUUAAGAUUCUCAAUUGGUUGCUUCUUUUAUUUCAGUCAACCAAACGGUGAAUAUCACCUAGAUGUGUCUCUAUGUUGUUCUACUGAUUUUUGUUUAGGCUCAAACCUCGGAGCAGUUGUCAAUAUUCUACAAAGUUCAUGUAGUUUUAAUCUAAGCAUAAAAUUAAACCCCA